GACGAACGCUGGCGGCGUGCCUAAUACAUGCAAGUCGAACGCAUUUUCUUUCACCGUAGCUUGCUACACCGAAAGAAAAUGAGUGGCGAACGGGUGAGUAACACGUGGGUAACCUGCCCAUCAGCGGGGGAUAACACUUGGAAACAGGUGCUAAUACCGCAUAAUUCCAUUUACCGCAUGGUAGAUGGAUGAAAGGCGCUUUUGCGUCACUGAUGGAUGGACCCGCGGUGCAUUAGCUAGUUGGUGGGGUAACGGCCUACCAAGGCUGCGAUGCAUAGCCGACCUGAGGGGGUGAUCGGCCACACUGGGACUGAGACACGGCCCAGACUCCUACGGGAGGCAGCAGUAGGGAAUCUUCGGCAAUGGACACAAGUCUGACCGAGCAACGCCGCGUGAGUGAAGAAGGUUUUCGGAUCGUAAAACUCUGUUGUUAGAGAAGAACAAGGAUGAGAGUGGAAAGUUCAUCCCUUGACGGUAUCUAACCAGAAAGCCACGGCUAACUACGUG
rnacentral:rRNA from 1 species